CAGCAGCCGCGGGAACACGUAGGUGGCGAGCGUUGUCCGGAAUUAUUGGGCGUAAAGGGAGCGCAGGCGGACAUAUAAGUCCAUCUUAAAAGUGCGGGGCUCAACCCCGCGAGGGGAUGGAAACUGUAUGCCUUGAGUGCAGGAGAGGAAAGCGGAACUCCCAGUGUAGCGGUGAAAUGCGUAGAUAUUGGGAGGAACACCAGUGGCGAAGGCGGCUUUCUGGACUGUAACUGACGCUGAGGCUCGAAAGCGUGGGGAGCAAACAGGAUUAGAUACCCCAGUAGUCCCUGUCUCUUAUACA
rnacentral:rRNA from 1 species